UCCGGUUUGUCACCGGCAGUCUCCCUAGAGUGCCCUUGCGUAGCAACUAGGGACAAGGGUUGCGCUCGUUGCGGGACCUAACCCAACACCUCACGGCACGAGCUGACGACAGCCAUGCACCACCUGUGCAGGCUCCGAAGAGCACCCGCUUUCACGGGUUUCACCCUGCAUGUCAAGCCCAGGUAAGGUUCUUCGCGUUGCAUCGAAUUAAGCCGCAUGCUCCGCUGCUUGUGCGGGCCCCCGUCAAUUCUUUUGAGUUUCAGCCUUGCGACUGUACUCCCCAGGCGGUAUACUUAUCGCGUUAGCCUCGGCACAGCCAGGGUUGAGUCCGGCUACACCAAGUAUACAUAGUUUACGGCAAGGACUAC
rnacentral:misc_RNA from 1 species